rnacentral:misc_RNA from 1 species
GCGUCAUCUUAGAAGAACCCAUUUCUUGAAGACUGAGCUGGAGGCCCUGUUCAAAAUAAGUUGGUAGCCAGUUCAUCAGCACAUACAAUGCAUAAUGGAAUGUGAAAUUGUUUACCACAAUUGCCCAAAUCGGUAAAUUAACCAAAAUUCUCUUCCAUGGAAUUUUGGCGGUUUUAAUAGUACUGCCUCCAUUCUCCACUUUUAUCUUUUGACUGACUUUAAUUGGCAGCAAAGAUUCUCCAAACCCUGCAGCAGCUGCUUUCGGAUGCUCAGAGCGAGGAGGAUCACUUGCAUAUUUGAUAGCAAAGACCACAAAACACCUAAUGCUGCUUCAGUAAGAAAUACAGAUUGGGGGCCUUUGUAUUUCACUAAAGUUGGCAGGAGAAGCAUUCCCAUAGCUGCUCCUAGGUACAUCCCAGAAGUUGUAAGAGAUACAGAUCUGGACCUUUCAUGAGCAUUGUGCCAGAACAGUAUGAAUGGAAGGGAAGAUGAACCCUUGCGCAACACCAACAAGCAAGCGUGCAACUACCAAGAUUACAACUCGAUUAGGAUCAAGUGGGACCAAAAAGCAAGUUGAUGACCAUAAAACAAAUGAGAGGAG